UGGUGGUAUCAUACAAAAAUUAAUGUAUAGAAUCCAAUUAGAAAUCCACAACUAAGCAUGCUAUGUUUAGAGUAGUAUUGUGAUGGCCAACUUCCUAGUGCAUUUGAGUGUUGCACCAC
rnacentral:rRNA from 1 species